CUCUCACCUCAGAACUUGCUCCUCAUUUUGGUUUGGUCCUUUUUCUUCUGUGAUACACUCUCCAAAAAUGAAUCUCAGUAUCCUGUUAGAUCUGACAAGAGACGUAGAAAAUCUGAAUUAUUUGAUUCUAGAAUUUUAAAAUCAUGGCGAGGAGAUGAUGAUGUUGGGUGUAUCAUUGGGUAAAUCAUCCAAUUUGAUAUACUGAAGCUCAAAUUUAAGAAUUUUUCCGAGAGGCUGAUGCUUAUCUGGAUAGUAAACCACUCCCAACGUUGUUCGCUACUACUUUGAAUGCAUUUAAGGAGUUGCGGAAAGAGUUAACUUCCAAGGACCAAGAGCAGUAUUGGUAUAUUAAGACUGAGCCAAUGCACUUGGUACCUUCACCUUGCUGUAUUGGCUUUUGUGCUUGGAGGAUACACUGUAUCCAAAGAUGAUUUUCAGCCAUGGAUUAGUUGGGGACACUAUGUAUCUCCUAUGAUGUACGCCCAAAAAGCCACAGCCAUAAACGAGUUUCUUGAUGAAAGACUGGACAAGUACAGCGUCUACCAGAGUCGAUCCCCGUUUCUGGUCAAUCCAGUCAGAAAGGCCCUUCUCAAGUCAGAAGCUUGUUUCGGACAAACAACUGGUUUUGGAUUUUUGUUGUGGCACUGUUUGCACUUUAUAUUGUCUUCAAUGUUCUUUUCAUGCAAGCCCUUUUGGUGAGUCGAAAGCGUUGAUUGCAGAUCAGGAUGAGGAUGAAGUAAGAUGUCAAAGAACAUCCGGUUACAGGAGAUUAGUGGUUCAAAUGUAACAGAACCAAAAAGUGGAAUGGUUCUACUAGGUUGAUAUGCCUGCUGAAAUGAAGUCUUAAAGGAAUCGAAGAAACUCAUCUCCAGUUUUGAAGAGAUGUUAGGGGCUUUCAGACCAGGGUGUAUUGAUAGCAUUAGUUGCUGUUAGUGGUGCUGGAAAAACUACCUUGAUGGAUGUUCUAGCUGGAGGUACAUUGAAGGAACAAUUAACUUAUCUGGAUAUCCAAAGAACCAAGCAACUUUUGUUCGAUUAGUGGGUUACUGUGAACAAAAUGAUAUCCAUUCACCUCAUGUCACUGCUCGUGAAUCUCUUUUGUAGUCGGCCUGCCUUCAUCUCUCUGCUGAUGUUAGAAAGGAGACACCAAAGUCAUAUCUUAGAUGUUUGUUGACGAGGUCAUGGAUUUGGUUGAGCUUCGUCCAUUGAACAAUUCUCUUAUUGCCUGGAGAAGACAGUCUUUCAACUGAUCAGAGAAAGAGACUCACCAUAGCCCGUAGAGUUGGUCGCUAAUCCAUCAUCAUCUUCAUGACGAGCCAACAAGACCUGCAGAAUUUGCUUGGGCCUGUGUAUUCUGUUAUUUUUCUCUUUGGAGCAGGUAAUGUUGCUUCAGUGCAGUUGAAUGAAUAACUUGUCGAGGGGUAUCUCUGGUGGACAAAAGAAGCGUGUGCAACAGGAGAAAUUCUGGUGGGGCUAGCAAAAGCUCUCUUCAUAGAUGAGAUAUCAACCACCGGGCUAGACAGUUCGACUUACCUUUUGGAUUGUUAAAUUCAUGAAACAAAUGCCUUAUGUGGUGGAUGUGACUAUGAUCAUAUCUCUCCUGCAAUCUGGUCCAGAACCAUCUGAGCUCUUUGAUGACAUUGGCCUACUUUCGGAGGCUGAAGUUACCUACUGAGGACCCCGUGAAAAUAUUCUUGAGCUCUUUGGAAACAUGGGAUUCAAAAGCCCUGAAAGGGAAGGAUUUGCCUGAGUUUCUGCAAGCCUCUACCCGAAGUUGAUCUCGUCACUGGGCAACCCACAGUUGGAAAGGCCUUUCUCAAGUUCAGAGGCUUGUUGUUGACAAACAACUGGUUUGGUUUCAGACAGCUCACCGAGAGAAAAAGAUACACAGCCCCGUUUUAGCUUUUCAGUUUGAGUUUUUCUUAUUUCAGUUGGGUUCCUCAUUUUUAAAUACUUUCAGUAUGUACAUAGAAUUUACAAUUUCAUUAGAGUUGAGACUUUUGGUGAUGGUUGGCUUCCAGAAAUUGUCGGCGAAGCAAUUCAUGGAAAUCGCAUUGAUAGACAAUGAAAUAAAAACCUAAUGUCUAAAUGCAGAAACACUUUGGUUUCUA